rnacentral:rRNA from 1 species
UGGGCUGUUCGCCCAUUAAAGUGGUACGCGAGCUGGGUUCAGAACGUCGUGAGACAGUUCGGUCCCUAUCCGUCGCAGGCGUAGGAAAUUUGAGAAGCCCUGUCCUUAGUACGAGAGGACCGGGAUGGACGUACCUCUGGUGUACCAGUUGUUCUGCCAAGGGCAUGGCUGGGUAGCUAUGUACGGAAUGGAUAAGCGCUGA